UAGGGAAUAUUGCAAAAUGGGCGAAAGCCCGAUGCAGCAACGCCGCGUGGGCGAUGAAGGCCUUCGGGUCGUAAAGCCCUUUUGAGGGGAUGAGGAAGGACAGUACCCUCAGAAUAAGCCUCGGCUAACUACGUGCCAGCAGCCGCGGUAAAACGUAGGAGGCGAGCGUUAUCCGGAUUUACUGGGCGUAAAGCGCGUGCAGGCGGAUUGGAGAGUUGGAUGUGAAAGCUCCCGGCUUAACUGGGAGAGGUCGUUCAGUACUUCCAGUCUUGAGUGCAGUAGAGGGAAGUGGAAUUCCGGGUGUAGUGGUGAAAUGCGUAGAUAUCCGGAGGAACACCAGUGGCGAAAGCGGCUUCCUGGACUGUAACUGACGCUCAGACGCGAAAGCUAGGGUAGCAAACG
rnacentral:rRNA from 1 species